ACAGGCGUGGCUCCUGGCUCCUACGUGUUGGGAUCUUAUAUGGCGCUGAAGGUUGCUUGGAUCGGUGAAGAUCUUGUCGCAAUUCUCACAGCUGAAUUUUUUGAGUGCCUACCUGAUGACGAAUUAAGUUAGGAUUUCCAUUGGAACGACCUUGGACAUUUGUCACAUUUGAACUCUCCGUGGUCUCCGAGCUCAGGGACCUCCGAGGACAGGUCAGUGUCACCAUUACCAACGCUGCAAUAAAACAUAGCAACAGUUAGUGGAGGGACCGGGAAAAACAAUCACCGCAUGUACUGGAUAAUGAUGUUCAAGAUAUUAUUAGGAUAAGAAGAAUGUACUUUUCUUUGACUAAAAUGGUUAACCACGUCAAUAUUUAAGUCAGGGACACUGGUUCAAGAAGUGCAGGAAGAUACUUUGCGGGGGAUGUGUCUGAUUGUAUGUUUGAAGAUCAGAAAUGUGUAUAGGAAACACUUCUCCCGCAUCGAACAGACCCUUUUAAUUCUGACACAAGUAAUUGGAAGGCAAAAAGGCUUGCUUAACUCCCAUUAGAAUGGACACAGUUGACUGGCCGUUAUUAUGUUGCAUCUUUCCAUGCGAGGUGUCGACAGGUGGCUAAAUGAGACUAAAUCAUGCAAUGUUCCUAGCUGAUCUACAGGCUAUGAGAGAGAGAGAGGGGCGGUGGUAACGUGAUCCUCGCCCCCGUGUUUGUGUUUCUGUUUAUUUUACUGUCUCUCUGGAAUCUAUGUCUUAACAAUGGACCUAUUCACGACUUCGAUGUAUUACAUGUAUACAUGAGGCGCAUCGUAAGGAAUUCCGGGGUUAACACUUGAAGGGUGAUUAUCGACAGCUCAGAAGUGAGAGAAGGGGUGUAACUGAAUACGUGGAGGAACCACCUCAUGCAUUCCUGGGGCUCACCCUAGAGAGGUCAACAGGGACGAUGUUUACAGACCUACUCUGGCUGUGAGCACCCCUCGGCCACGGCGGUGAGUACUUUUACCAGGAUGGGACAAGUUUCGCACUAAUCACAAACCGACUCACUGGUGUAAUACAAUGGGAAAAUUAUGCCGGGUGCUUAAUUUCUAAUUUAAUCCGCUAUUACGAUGACCGUGUUCAGGUUUUAUCGUGGUGAUGCUUAACUUUUAAAUUCGGGAUGUGUGAUUAAUGGUUAACCUUUUUUGUGUCACGUGACUUUAAUGAUGCACAAGGCACUUUGUAACCUGAAGAUUUCGGAUAUGAAUUUUUUUCUUUCUGGAACAAAGUGCUUGAUUUUAAUUACAGAUGCUGUCAUGUUGAACGACUCUAUUUGCAAACAGUUGCUCUCACUUCUUGUCUAAUUUGAUAAUUUCAUUGCAAGAGCACAAUCACCACGCGUAUCCCGUCUACAAUUUCUGUCCAAUAAACUAACCUUUUUCUUUGUCAACAU
rnacentral:sRNA from 1 species